rfam:Pseudogymnoascus pannorum VKM F-3808 contig_2065, whole genome shotgun sequence.
UUCCUUUUACCACAACAACCCGUGAAUGGCUUGACACCAGCAUCACCUUCGGGUCGAUAAUGGAGUCGCUGUUCAGUUUGACUUCAAGGAGCCAUCAAAUUCCCAUGAUGUCAAUUUUCUAGUCAACGGGUUUGAGAUCGAUUAACGCGCCCGCAAGUCUCGAAGUUUUGAGCCCCUCCGGGGAGCUCGAUGGAGAGAUGGGCGCCUUAAGUCACUAUAUUCCAAAUCUUUUCGCUGAUGCCGUCGGCUUAUGAUGCUAAAGACUCACCAUGGUGAAUACAGUU